AUGGUUGAGUGUUCUCCAAAGAAUGACUUAACAAUAAAACUUUUCACUAACAUUAGACUAACACUUUUUUUAAUUUUGUUUUUACUUCCAAGUUAUUUACUUAAUGAAAUUUAAAUUUCAGUGCAUUUAUCAUCCAUCUGCCAUUUACAUUUCAUGCAACUUGUUUAUGCUUCAGUCCUUUUCACUUUGCUCACUUGAUCCAUAUCUUGUGAUUGUAUAUAUUGUUUACUUUUUUUUGUCUUAGGACCUUAAAAC
rnacentral:lncRNA from 1 species